UAAUAAGGUGAGCAGAAAACCAUGUCGUGUAUGCAAUUGUCUGAGGUACUUGCUAUCGUGCGCUGAGCCUUGCUUUCAGAGUGUUUUCGAAAGCUGUUGUUACUUCUUCUUUUUUUCUGAAAUGAGUCAGGAAAUUGUUAUUGCACUACCAAAGUGGCUGUUUAUUAGGUUGAUGGGAGACUGAUGCUUGCAUAAGCUAUGAGGGCUGAGUAUGAUUUUCUUUCUCUGGGAGGCAAAAAAAGAGAUUGUACCUUCAAUACAUGAAAACGCAGCUUUUGCUCUUUAUUGAACUAAUGCAGCUGACCAAAUUUCACCAACAGAAGAUAUACUAUCUCAGUGCUAAAAAUUUGAAGAGAAUGUGAACUGACCUUGGGCAAAUCCAGUCUCCAGUCUUCCAUCCUGGAGGGAAACU